ACUCAAAUGAAUAGACGGGGACUUGCACAAGCAGUGGAUUAUGUGGUUUAAUUCGAUGGUAAACGAAGAACCUUACCAAGGUUAGAAAUCAUGUUGCAAGCCUUUAGAAACAUUGGCCCUCGCAAGACAGCAUGACAGGUGAUGCAUGGCCGUCGUCAGUUCGUGGUUUGAAUUGUACCCUUAAGUGGGCUAACGAACGCAACCCUCGUUGUGUGUUACAAGUGUCACACGAGACCGCCCCCACCUCUCUAUAUUAAAUUUUAGUAUGUAGAGGUGGGGGAGGAAGGAGAGGAUGACGCCAGGUCAGCAUGUCCCUUGAUACCUUGGGCUACACACAUAAUACAAUGGCCAUCACAACGCGCAGCGACGAGGCGACUCUGAGCUAAUCGUUUAAAAAUGGCCUCAGUUCGGAUUGGAGUCUGCAACUCGACUCCAUGAAGCUGGAAUUGCUAGUAAUCGCGGGUCAGCUAAACCGCGGUGAAUACGUUCUCAAGUCUUGUACACACCGCCCGU
rnacentral:rRNA from 1 species